rnacentral:tRNA from 1 species
AAUUGUUUCAGUGAUUUUUUGCAAAAAAGUCCUUUUAUUAAAAAAACAAUUU